UUACUAUUUCUGGCCAGAGUAGCACUCAGCAGGAAUAUCUUAAAUUUAGAAUUUCCUUUGAUAUAUUUAAGAAAUGUAUCUACAUCGAAUUCAAGCUUUUAUAAUUACAACUUAGAUUAUUAUAAACCAUACCAGCAGUGCAGCCCCCUUUCCCCAUACCUUCGGGCAGUCCUACCCUGGACUGCACAGCACUCAGACCUGACAGGGUUGGUUCUGACCUGGAGGGACUCGUAAGAGUAUCACAGUCCAUGCAUGCCAACUGCUGACCCUCCCACCUACAGAAGUGCUUGUUGAUGGGGAUCCUAGCCAGGGCUGUGGCAUGCGGCUGCAUCUGAUAAGGACCCUCUGCCCUCUGUGGUGCUUCUGUGUCCCAAGGCCUCAAUGGCCUGCUAUAGUUGUACCGAGGCUUCUGUUUCUUGCAUGACAAGCCGUAGUCACUUCUGAUUGUGGCAACACUGGGUGUAUGGGGGGUACCUCCUCUUAUGGCCGUGUGAUCCAGGUUCCCUUGUCUCAGCAGGACCCCCAAAUAGCUACCGGUAGGGCUUCAAUGACUUCUCUGCAUUGUAGACUGACAGAACAGGUCCCAUUUCACACAGCAUAGGGACCCUUCUCCUCCCAGGGCCAGGCUCUUGGCAGCCACGCCAAGCCAUUGCUGGCAUGGAUUCCCGGCGUUCUUGGUCGAGCGCAUGGCAUCGGAAUGCUACCUGCUUUGUCUCUGGCGUCAGCUGGCAAGCAGUCACGUGGCCGUAUGCGUGAGGCCAGAGCUAGAGACCAGAGACGCCUCCCGGACAGCUUCCUCUUAGCUCGCUCUGCCUAUCCUUUUCUUGGCUUUCAGCAUGACUGUCUGAGCAGGCAGAAAGCAGAAUAAAACUAGUAGGCUGCCCAGGGAAGGCCAGAUCUGUGUGGUUUGCCUGACCACCCUUUACCUGAGUCGUCAUGGACAGAAAGUCCCUUACCAUGGCCCACAUGAUGAGGAGUUAGUUGGUCAGUGGUUCCUCCACCAUCCCCGGUGGCCGAGCUGGCUCUGUGGUGCCUAGGUAUCUGGGAAGAGGUAGUAUAUGCUGCUCCCCCAUACUGUAGAUUCAUUGCGUUUCUCCAUGAGUACCUCUGAUGUCAUAUAAAGGGCCCAAAGUGACAUGGAGCUGAGAGGAUCUGGCAGGGGCAGGUGGCUGAGUCUGAUCAUUUCAGCAAAGUCGCCCCUGUCAGGCCCUUAGCUCCUCUAGCUGUUUCUGAUGGCUCCAUCAUAGGAUUAUGUCCCCAAGGCAGUGACAAGGAGUGGCUUUAGUUUCACUGAAGGGUCUGGGAGAACAGAGGUGGUGUGUUUCAGCUCUACCCUGGCACUCCUCGUUCUUGGCUGCUUGGUGGCUCUGGGAUCCUCUUGGCUCUCCCAGACAUUGGGUACUGAGCACACUGCCCAGUGCCAGGCAUAAUGUCCACCUCCCAUCAACUACAGGUCGGAGACAUAACCCCCCUCGUUAAUUUCGGUGAGAAAACCGAGGCUGAGAGCAGUUUUGCGGAUUCUUAGCCAAAUUCAAACCCAUAGUCCAGACUCCUGGCUGAGGCAGCUCUCGCCUCCAUGAUUAGGAUGGGUCACGCUAAGAGUCUUGGUCAGGGGGUAGCUGGAAUGGGAGCCCUGGCUCUCCCGAAGGAGAACAGCCGAGUGCCGGCCACCUCCUGCUACUCUGUAGAACCCAGCAUAGGAACAAUGCGGCCUCUAUCUGGAGCAGUUCGGGCAGCCUGGACUCCAGGCCCCUCAGAACGGCUUGGCUGGCCAGGCAGUCGCAACAUGGCGCCAGGGCCACCCUGCCCAUCUACAGGGCUGGCUGUUGCCAGGGCUGGGGCUGAGCUGGUGUUCCAGGCGUUCUCAGGCUAGCUGCUGAGUGGUCAGGCACUGUGGUAUCCUCCCUCCUCUCCCUGUCGUCCAGCCCCCGCCUUUUUUUUUUUUUUUUGGUGGUGGGUUUCGGGGCCCGGCCCACCCGCCUCUGCCACGUCUGCCAUCCUCCAAGCACCCACGAGCAUCUUUCGAAAAUUCCCGGUGGGCGGGGCCGAGCUGUAGCGGCCGCCUCUGCCCCCCCCCUCCCCGGGAGCCAGUGCCAGAUGAGAGAGAGCAGGAGACAAAAGUAGCAUUUUCCUCGUCCUCCUAGGCUGGCAGCAGGGCCUUCCCCCAGCGCCACUUGCUCCUGGCAGUCCUAACCCCGGACGCCAGAGUAGCCAAGGCCCAGGCCAGGAUGCACGGACUGAUGGACGCCAGAGCCCAGGGCCUCUCCGGCAGAGACUGGCACCUGGGGACAGCCUUUAGGCUGGUGGGAGCCCUCUUACCCAGCCAGGGCAGGGGACAUCGUUUUCACUUCCUGGCUUUUGAGAAAGUGACCCUGUCCUUCAGUUCCUUGGUAAGUGACCUUCUCCCUUUCGCCUGCUGGGGACGAGCAGAGGGCCCUGCCAUCUUGUGCUCCGUGCCUGUUAAGUCUCCUUCCCUCUAAUUGGCUUAACCCAAACCCCAAAUUCUAUUCCAGAGCCCCCCCCCAGUCUUGAGUGAAGCAGGCACUGCCAAAAACUGCAGGGAAGAGAGAGAAACCAAGCCAUUUAUUUUUAAGAUCCAAAGCUAUGGCUUUCGAAAUGAUAAUGAAAACACACGUUUGGUAUUUCACAGUGGCUGCGUGUUCAGUGAGGAGCUGAGGGCUGGAGGAGGCACCAGUCGGCAAAGCCACUCUUCCUUGCCUGUGUUGCUUUGUUGUUGAAGGGGGUCUUAUUAUUUCAUUAGCAUUUUUUUUAACUUUGGCAGUACCGGGAAUAGCAGAGGGGGAAAACGCAGAACCAUCGUAUGGUUCUCCAGCAAAGGGCACAGGCAAGGCCAGCCAAACACAAGAGGGAGGACUUUCGUGUUCAGAAACAGAGGUGGUUUUAUUCUGUCCCGCAUCCCUAAUGCCACCAUUUCCACGGUUUAGGGAUUUAGUUCCUUCUGCCUUUCGUUUCAUUUUGUUUUAUUUAUUUUUUAAAAAGAAGAAAGCUUUUCUUGGCUCAGCGUGGGGAAAAUCCGGGGUUCUACACUCUGCUUUUAAAGCAUUUGCUUUUAAGGUUUUUCUUUUUCUUUUUUCAUUUUGAGGGGAGAAUCUAACAUCACAGUAAUGUGCCCAGCUUGUAACCACGUUGCCAGGCUGGGCGAGACCUGCGACCAAGCAGGCCUCUGGAAGAGCACACCAAGUGGUUUCCAGGCCUGUCUAGACCCUGUCCCAUACUGGUUCCUCACCAGCAGAGUUGUGCUAGGCCACAUAGGGCCUAAACUGUGGCUGAUGAGGCUAAGGAGCCCCUGAAGACCUUUGUGUAACCCGCCAUGCCCAUGCUGCUGUGAGCCGAGUUAGUGCUAUCUGAGUUCAGUCGCAGGCCCCAUCCUUUAUAAAAAGAGACCCUUUGCAGAGCCCAGCCGCCUGAUCACCUCCACCCUUCUGGCACGCUGACAAAAGCGCCCUCGACCACAGCCCGGGUCCUUGUGUUUGAGGGUAGCUGGGGUCUUGAUUUAUGGGAACUGGAAAAUCCUACACAGAAAGUUCCACUGCACAGGAAGAGGAAAAUUCCCAAGUACAGACAUCUUUGUUUCCCUAGUCCAGACGCACAUGGGCUCUAUGUGUCCGGGGACUCAGCCACAGCAGCCACCCGGAGCAGACUUCGCUAGAUAUGAAAACGGAACCCAGCCCGGCUGCUUUUGUUCUUAUGCUAGGCAGCAGUCGAUACGGAAGGGUUUGGGGCUGCGGAGACAGGCAUAUAUAGCUGAGAUAAUUAAAACAUUUUCACGAUUAUGACAGCCACAUUCUGCUGCUGCAAGCUGGAGGAUUCAUUCCACCCAAAUAUUUAGCAAGCAUCGGAUAAAACACUAGUGGCAAAAUAAAAGUAAUAGGGGGAAAAGCAGCGUAAUAUAUUUCAAAGGCAAAAGCAUGGCAAAGAGAAUUAGGCAAGGAAGAAAAGGGAGGUUAACAGCUUGAAAGAAACUGCAUUUUAACAACUGCCCACCCUUCACCUGUUGUUUUUAAUAGUUAAUGUAGGUGAAUAUAGCUCCAAUUUUAAGUUCUGGGUGGAUGUGUGGUAGAAUUUCUUGAGCGCUAAUUCAUCUUCCUUUUGAACAAGGGGAAAGUAUGGAAAAAUAAUCCAUGUAAAUAUCUUCACUGUUAAAUUAGUACCUUCCACUCUGAGUAAAUUUACCCAUUGCUUUUAAUGUUUGUCUAUCACACCGUCUUUACACGUGUGGGAAGAUUUGAGUAUCCACUUGCCACCUUACGUUUUGAAUUCCUUUAUCAUCAGACCCCCGGCCCCCAAAUGUAAAAUGUCAUCCUCUUUUUAAAAAAAAAUGGGCAAAAUCUCAGCUCUUUCCAUGGCACCCAUUGCUUUUUGACAGUAUUUUUUAAAAAAAGAAAGAACCACGCAAAGCAGUUUCCACAUCACUGCUUCUAUAUAAAUUCCACUAUAGACAGAAAUUAUACAUUCUUGAGGCACAGAUGGGCUGGUCUGUCAUUACCACUGCCUGGUACUUGUUGGAACACACGGCAUAUUUUAAUUGUGGAGUCAACAAUUUCGAAGAACUGAGGUCAAAAUAAACAAGCCGCAUUUGUGUCGAGAAGCAAACUUGUUCCAUGAUCUUCUGGAAGGGCUGACAGAGUACCACUGCCGUGUUAGAUUUUUUUUUGUCUCUGGGUACUCAUGCAUGUGUGCUGUGUGUGUGUGUGUGUGUGUGUGUGUGUGUGUGUGUGUGUGUGUGUAGGCAUUUUCACACCAUGGGCACGCACGUGAAGGUCGGAGCGCAACUCACAGGAGUCAGCUCUCUCCCUGCACUGUGUGACUUCCAGAAACUGAGCUCGGAUUGUCAGGCUUCACAGACACAUACUGUUACCUGAGAGCUGGCUCACCAAUCCUGUCCCCAUCUUGUAAGACUCCAAAUGCCCUGUGUCAGAGGUCCUUCCUUAUUUUAAUUAAUUACCAAUUUUUAUCUCCAGUUCCAACUUGUGGGAUGUGGAAUUAUUAGUAUAUCUCCUUAACUAUAAGGAGGUUCAGCCUCCUGAUAUUUUGGGUUAGCAUGCAUGUAAUUAUUUUGAGACCUGCACACGGAAAAAACAAAUAAUAAAUAUUUCAAAUGGUUUUAAGUGAGUCAAUUGCAUAGAAUAGGUAUAAAUUUAAAAAAAAGUCUCAGCAAGGUAAGAAAAUACAUAUAUGUGGGGGCUGUAUCAACACACUAGAGGCCAGAGCACUCUUACAGCCACAAUUUGCAGAUGGUGAAAAUUGCUUAUUUUGGGAAUUGUGUACGUGCGAUGAUGUAAUCAGCCGUAAACUGCACUUUCGCCCCCUUCCCCAUGUGUUCAGCACUGACCUCUGUACUUCUGGAGUCCAAAGCUGUGCCCCUGGUCUGUAGAGAGCAUUUGAGGCUCCUGCACUGGGAGGGAGGAGGGAAAGGCCUUCUGCACACUGCCCCAGCGCCCCCAUCCCCGGGAGCUCCAGCCCCCACACCCGUUUGUUAAUAGAAAUGCUUUGUCGUGGCUUGUUUAUUUGAAGGCUUGUACCUGUUGGUGGAGAUGUUAGCGAACAGUGGAAAUGGAACAUUGACGAACUCCUCCACAGGUGGCUGGGAGUGGUGAGUCUGAGUAUCUACCCCCUUCACACUUUUCCUGUGGGUCUGCAGGUCUGUCAGCCACUGCCUCAGAGUCAGGGGAAACUGAAGUCAACGAACUCGAAGCCAGGGGGUGGCGACAGUGUUGUGUCAGUCAUGGGCAUGGCUUCGGUACUGUUUGGGCCAGGGAUACAGUGGCCUUUCACUUUCGGAAGAUCGCGUAUGUAGGGGAGAGAGACAAAGAGUUGCUCUGGCUCUGUAUUCUGUCUAUAAGUCAGUUACACUUUCCGAGCCUCAGUUCCCCUGUCUGUAGAAUGGGAACAGGAAGCAGAGAUCUAUCCAACACCAGAAGACUCAGUUAAUGGAGCACAUCCUUGCCCAGUCAUUGCUUCCUCGCUGUACUUUGGAGCCUCAGAACGUUUCCCAAAGCACCUGGAGAGGUGGGGAAAUCAGAGAGAUACAGCCAGCAGUUAGGUCAAGAAUGAGGCCCCGUUUCCUCCAAAGUUCCUACAGGUCAGCUAAAGUUUUUCACUUGUGUGUGCCCCCUCCGUGUACAGGUUAGAACAUGGAUGUGCAAUGAGGUCUUUGCAGGGAAACGUGCAUAGAGGCAUGUGUGUGUGACAUGCACACACAAACAUGGGUGUCUAUUUUCCCAGUGGCUAGUAUUCAGACCCGGCCCAGGUACCCGUAAUAGACGGGCAUUUUCUACCAAGGUGGGCAGUGCCUUUUAGAUAUUGUCUCUCUUCUUCUUUAAGUGAACCAUGGAGCCCUUUUUACAUCCUUGCAACAACUGUGGUAGACAGCCCAUCACUGUCCCUAGGGGUCUGAGAUGAGCCCCCUUCCCUAGGCUGGGAAGUUGAGGUGAGGGUGGGGUGGGGGUACAAUCAGUUCCAGAGCAAAGAUAGUCAGACGUAGUCAUCAGGCCCAGGGAAGGCCCAGACUGCGUUCUCCCUAUGUGGAUGGACGGUUCCAGGCGCCGGCCAUUUGCAGACCUGGAGGAAUGAGAGUGAGCCUCUGGGCCCAGCAGAGGAAAUGGCGGCCCAGAGCGGGGAAUCUAGGAAGGCGGGCCGAGGGCGGGGAGCUGCCCGGAAGUCCUGCUAUUGCUGCUGGUCAGCUGCUAGGGGCCUUCUUCCAAGGAGCCACCCACAGGGCUGGGCCUUCCCAGGCAGGUCUGUGUAUGCCUACAGGCAUGCUGGGCCCAGGGCAGGGCUUGCCCGUUAGGAACACUGUACAUACAGCAGAGGGGUUAGAUGAGACAGAAGCCCGGCACACCUUCUGACAGGUCUUGGAGCUUGAUUUUUAAAAAGAGGGUUACAGCACCUGGCUCAGACUGUGGAGGAAGCCCAUGAAUUGUUUGUUGUCUUUAUUAACCUCGUUGUGUCCUAGUAGGUAGAUCUAGGAAGCCUGAACUUUUAAGUGAGUUACUUGUUCACCUCAGCCUCAGUGCUCCGCCUCAAAAUGGGAGGGCAUGAGGCACAAGGGCUUCUUGUGAAGAAAUUAAAUAUCUGUGAAGUGAUGGGACAUUUGGCCUGAUGCAGGGCUGUUGAUGGGUAGCAGUUGUGGGUGGACCACGGGAAAGAGUCCUUGACAUUGGGCCUUGUGACUCUCUAGGCUUUGAGUUUGGGUAGGGGAUGCAGGCUGGAGCUGGGGUGCUCAGGAGGUAGCCUGGACAUACUAGUAUGUACGGGAACCUCUGGCCCAGUUUCCUGGGCGCCCAGCCCUGAGCGAGAUUCCUGGGGUGGGUGUGCCUAUGCUUCUGGCUUAGGCGUGGGAUCCUGCCUGCUCUCUCCCUGCCAGGACUCAUGGGAUGAACCUCACCUGGGCCUGGGCUUUCAAAGUCCCUGUUAGUAGCCUAGUGUUUCUGCCAGGUGCUAGCACGUUUGACCUUCUGAUAGACCCCUGCAGGGUCCAACAUGGCUGCUAUCAGAGGUCUCGGUGUCAGGGAGGCACUCCAUCCAGCCUAGGCUUUUUCUGCGGACGUAGAGUGAGUCACCCAAUGCCAGUAUAUCGGGAGACUCAGCACCUGAGGACUGGGGCAUGGGGAUCUCAGGCCUGUAUCCAGAGUGCUCUGGCAUCCUGGGAAAGCUCUGCCCCUCAGAUGUGGUCAUUCGUGGGCCAUCCAGCUCAGGGGCCAAUGCCAGGCACCUGAAAGUGGGCACUCCCAAGGCCAAGCUUGCAACUGAGACCUCAGCUAGGUGCCAAGGCAGCAAAAGAGUGGCCACUAUAGUCAGUGUCCAGCUGCCAAGAGAGGAGAUAAGACCAGGUAGGCAGGCCUGGUUAGAGACCUCCACAGCUGAAAGCCCCUGCCUUGGCCCAGGUGAGGGCUUGGCCACAGUAGGAGUUUCCCAGAGAGCACUAGUGCAGGUAGGUUAUCACAAACAUGUCUUACUCUGUGUGCCUGAGAGACCUCAUUUUGCAGAAUACCCACUAUGUGCUAGGCUCAGGCUGGGACAUUUCAUGAAUUUUUAAAAACCAUGUCCAUUUUUAACUUGAAUCUAUCCAAUCCGUUUUCAUCUCAACAUCUGACCAGGGCCCAUGCUGAACUAGUCAGAAUGUAAAAUAAACAAAACUCAGUCCCUGCCUUAGUGGAAGAAGUCCCAGUCUAGUGAGGGGUGGAUGUCAGCUUUUCUUUACAAGAGAAUAGAGGUGCAGAGAGGCCAAGGAACUUUCCCAUAGUCACAUAGCUUGGGUACCAGAACCCUAACCCUGAUCUUCCCCAUGGCUGUGCCAAAUGACCUGGCAUUGGACUCCUGUUUAUUUUCUGCCUGUUGGAGGCUGGCCUUGGCUGGUUCUCCCUAGACACCCAACACCAGCAAGAAUCUUACCUUUGGCCCGGAGUUCUGCUACAGAAAGGAGUUGUCCUGGAGCUCCAGGCCAUGUAUGUUUGAGGGUGCUGAAAAUCUCUCCCUGACAGAACUACUAUCGCCCCUAUGCUGGUGCCUGCAGGUCUAAAGGGUCUGGGGUAUUGCCCUAACUCAUGGUCUCCAUACUGUCAUGGUCUAAUGUGCUGUGAACCACACUCAGGGAUCAUACUGUUGUUCUCCAUGGCCCUGAGGCAGGGAGCUACUGAGCUACUUGGGACUGUGGGCCUAGAUGCUGGGUCUAAGGUCCUGGUAGACUCAUAAAAGGCCAGUUCUUGAUGGUGAAUCGGGAAUGUGUUAGCAUAGAGAGCAAGGGAGCCUUCUAUGAAUCCCAGCAGGCCAUUGGUUGGUGUGGCCCACCCUGGGGGCUUGAGUCCCCAAGCCCACAGAGUCUCUUGCAUAUCAAGAGUAGUGCCAAGCUCCCUCCAUCCUUCAGGGUCACAUCACAUAGGUUUUAGGCCCCACAGCACACCAGGCCAAGUGUGCUUUGGGAGGAGACCCAAUAGCCCCAUCCAGAGUACGAUGGAGAGGACCAUCUAGUGUUCUAGAGGUCUGCCUCCCCCCAUUCUACCCAUACCAGCAGGCCUGAGGCACACAGAGCACCAACAUGGCUGGCAUGGCAAAUGCAGAUAUCCUCGGGAAACCCAGGCUCCUACUUAGAUGCCAUGGGCCCAAUCCCUUCCGAGGAGACUCAGGUUAUAGGUUUGGAGCAUCUGAGGAAUUCAGGAGACUUCCUGGAGGUGGUGGACCCACAGCCCCGGUCUCUUCCCUAAAGCUGACCGCCAGGGCUAUGACUGCAGGGCCCCGCGCCCAACCCUACUCCUGCCACGUCCCAGGGCUCCCUGCCAGGCGCCACCCCACCCCAGCCCUGUACAGGCCACAUCUGCUGCAGCAGCCACGCCAGAGCUCCACCUCCUAUCCUGUCCCCAUGGAAACCAAGGGGGGGGGGUUAGCCACUGACUGGUUUCCAUUAGAGCAGCCUGCUUUUCUGGAGCCCUGCCCCUGAGCUUCAAGGCCUCCCCAGAGACUUCUUCCUGCAUUUGCUGAGCACCACUUAGUCUAUGCCAGCGAGCCCAAGGGUCCCAGCAUUGCCUACACUGGCCGACUUACAUCAGGGGAGUAUCAGGUGGGUUCAGGGCCCUGCCAAACUCUGGGGAUGCUUUGGGUCUUGGCAAGUUACGGUAUUAGGACUUGGUGCUUCCUCACCGAAGACUAUCACUUCAGAGAUUUUUAUAGCCCAGAAACCUGUGUGCCUGACUGAGUCCUGCCUGGAUUCCAGAGCUCCCACCCAGCCAUAGAACCUAGGGGUCGUUGGACCCCCUUUCCUAUCUUUGGGCCUUGGCUGCCCCAUCCACAACAUGAGAGGGUCAGCAGCUUUGCCUGAGUGCCUUGUAGAUAGACUUUAAAAAGAAGGAAAAAGGGAAGGAGGGAAAGGAAGAAAAGAAAGAGAAAGCGGAGCCACGUCAGUGCUGGCUCCUCUAGGUUCCCAGGCCCGGGUUUUGCUUCCUUUCAGAAAAGGUUUUUAAGGAAACUUGGUCAUGGAAUGUAACAGAGAUGGUGGUUGGAGAGGCCCCGGGCCAGCCGGAGCCCUCAGCAUCUGUUUGGCACCCAGUGACCUGGCUAUGAAUGCAGCAACAGGAGGCUUCAGUCCUGCCAGCGGGUUCUGCAAAUGACUGGAGAGGUUUCCAGAGAUCCGAAAUGUAGGCUGAAAAUGAGAUCCAGCUUUUAAAACCUCGGUGGGUUCAUCCCUAGGAAGGUGGGGAGGCCUGCAAAGGGGAUACACACUGGCUUUGUAAAAUUCACUCAGGGGCUGUAUGUAUCUAUGGUAGCUCAGCCUGGCUGGCCUUUAUACCAGUGGCACGGUAGCAUGCUACCCUCCUUCAUGGAAUCGGGAAGCUGCAUUAGAGUAUGGGCAUAGUGCUUGGGGCACCGGCUCUGGGGAACUUUGGGGGCAGCCUCCACAUGGGAAGAUUGGCUCCUGUCCGCUUGUGAGGGACCAUCGAGGGUGCUGGUACUACUGAGGCUACUGAGUUCUACCCAUGUUGAUCCCACCCCAAUGAUGAGAACCGCUGGCACCAGGCCAUUUAAGUCAUCCAAGCCACUUGCAUUGCCUCCUGCGCCUCAGUGUUUUCAUCUGCAAAAUAGACACAGUGACUGGGACUCUGUGUGAGAGCUAGAUGAGAGGAGGGGUUAGGGCUGGAUAAACGGCAGCAGGCAGUAUCUAAAUGGUAUCAGUGCAGGGUCCUUAGGACGGAGAGAACAGGCCACACGUUCCAGUUGCUACUCCCCGUGUACUCGGAACCCUGCCUUGAUAUUGUCUCUGUUUCAUUCCCAUUCAGGUGCCACCCCAGCCUCCCAUCCCUAGGCCACCUGGGGUUACUGGCCCAUCCCUGUGUCAGGGAAAGUAGCUCGUGAGGAUGCUGACUUUAUACCUCCAAGGAAUGGGGUGAUGGCAUUUUCAUUCUUCUGCCCUGGGCAGGGAGGAAACUUAGGUGGGGACGGUGGCCUCUGGUGGCUACAGUCCAGCCUGCAAGCAUACAGCCUCGCAGCUGCAGGCCAAAAGAGCUGGAGAAAGCAGCAUGUUGAGCCUGGCCUGGACUGAUUUAGACAUUCAGGAGACUAGAAAAGCGUAGGAAAUGAAGGAAAUUUCCCCAGGGAAGGGAGAGACAAGAUAGAGGAGCUUAAGUGCCUGGAUAAUUACAAAGCAUGGCCUGAUGAUUUACUGCCAGGCAGCCUGGCUCCUCUAACUGCCUCCACUACCCAUCUUUCUGGGCCCCCCAUGCCCUAGAGACCAGCCAUGGGGAAGGCAGAGAGGCCAUGGACACUGCCCCACACCCAGCCUCACAUUGUCUCCUGGAGUUGGGCUCAAAGUCAGCUCUCACAGGAGGCACUAUGAAGGGGACCAAGCUUCACUCUGUGCUGGGCUCAGACAUCUGGUAUCCGGGUGGCUUCAGAGAACUCGGACCUGACCCAACCCCAUUCUGUAGACUGAGGAAAGGGGGCUAUGAGAUCAGGCCCUCACAGUCAACACACUAGCCUGUGCUAGAAUGUUGCAGGGACCGUAGUAGACAGCUAAAAAGACUGCCUGUCCCUCCCACCUGAAAGAAGGCUCCCAUCCAUUCUCAGUUGAAGACCAAUCUCCUGAAUGGAACAUUUAUUGUGGUUUGUUUUGAGACAGGGUCUCACAGUGUAGCCUUAUCUAGUUUGGAACUUGCUGUGUAGACCAGGUGGGCCUUGAACCCACAGAGAUCCACCUGCUUCUGCUCCUGGAGUACUGGGAUUAAAGGUGUGUGCGCCAUGCCCAGGUCUUGGAGGAACUCUUGACAAGCCUUGUGUCUCCACAACUCUUUUUUAUUUUAUUAGGACCCCAUGUCACUAUGUAGAAGCCCUCCAAACCUUGUGCUCACCACCUAUACUGUGGACAUACAGCUCCUGUGGUCCUCUCACCCGUGUCUACGCUGGGAGCUCCUCGGGAAGGACAGCUAUCACCACUCAUGGUCUUACAGCCUGACUCAGAACAUGACUGCUCUAGAGCCUCCCAGGAAAGUGAAAGCCUGUCACAUGUACCAGAAGACCACAUAGGACCUCAUACACAGGCUUCAGCCGCUUCUUGACAAUUCUACCAGGUGACCCCUGAAGCUCAAGGGCCAUGCCCAACCCAGGCCCUGCCCUGGAUUCAUGUGGACCCGACAGAGGCCUGAGCCCUUGGCUGUAGGUCAGAAGCAGCACAUCCCAGAGUGAUGCCUUAUGAUGCCAUCCAGGUCCACAGAACCCCAGCAGCCCUGGCUCAUUAUCCUACUGACAGCCAUUCUGGCUUCCCAAGGUAAGAGAAAAGGGGGCGACCCUUAAAAGAAGCUGGAAGGUAGUUCCCCGCGCAGUAGGGAAGGAUGUGGAUUACAAUGUCUUUGAAUCUUCCUGGGUAGCAUGGGGGUUGCUCCAUGGCCCUGCCUGGCUCCAUGCUCUCUGCCAGGAUAGCAAGAAGCUGUGUAUAGACCGAAGGGCCCAGCUGCCCCAUUUAGGAAGCUAGCUGAAUGCCGGCCCCAGACCUCUUUCCCACAACUCCUGGGAAAAACAGUCUGUGGCUCUGCAGUGAGGCUUGCCCAGGCCAUGCCCCUCUUCCAGGGAGACCCCCAAAAAUGUCCAAAGCCCAACUACCCAGACCAAUGCCUUCUCAAUGUGCCAGGCCAGGAUGGAUCUUCCUGGGGUCCUGGAGGGGAGAACCUAGAACAGGAAAAAUCUCCCAAGGAAGGGCCAUGCCUAGAGGGAGGUGACAGAGGGGGCUGUCAAAGAGCAGGCAGAGUCCAUGCCCCGCAAUGUGACAUCUGUAGUCAUUUCCCAUGACCUGGGUGAUGCUUGGGUGGAGGGUAUCUGCAGAUGAGUACACACCUCGCUGGUCAAAGCUGGUAACCCAUAGCCUAAAUGUCCAGCCCCAAGCUGAGUCUAGGGAGCAGAAUGCACUGCACAGUGUACAACAGGCCAUCUGUGCUUUGCCCUAGGUAUAAGCCAGCGGCUUCCUCAUGACUCUCACUACUGUCCAUACCAGACAGCUAUCUCCCUAGCUCUCCAGAGGGGGCACAGAGCCAACUGACUUUGUCUCAGACUCUGUUUCCAGAUGGAGGGAGCUAGGCUCAGGUCUGGGCCUCUCCAGCCAGCCCAAGACCCCGAAUUCCCGCUUUUCACUCUCGAGUUUUGCUAUGGGUCACAGUGUUCAUUACCUCUGUUCUAGGAGUGAGCAUGCUCCCAGGGUACUACAAAGUCCACCCAGAGCCCAGCGCGGGUCAGACCCAUCCUGGGAUCAGCAUUCGGUGGCAGAGCCAGAGAAAGCCAGGUCCAAGGCAUUUAGAUGCCAGCUCCAGGACUGACCGUGCAUAUCUGCGAUACACUUUUGGAAGAGGGUAUUCAAGCCUAUGGUGCACUUCCCCCACAGACCUGCCAGAACCCAGGCUGAAGCCCAGGGAUACUGAGCAAACCUGGAUCAUCUUCGCUCACAAAUGAUCUUGUAUUGUCUCGGGGGCGUUUGCAUUAGUCAUUUCUCUAAACGUCACACAAAGGCGUUACUUGUCUUGGUCACCCCUAGCAUGCCUGUGUUAGCCAGACCCACAAUGGUCCUCAGUAGGCAUGGCCUGCCUCUGGGCACACCAACCCAGACCCAGUCAGCUAGCAUGCAUCUUGUUAACUUUAUGGGCCCUGUUCACAAGGAGGCCCGCCUUCUGCCCAGCCGGAUGCCACCCCUCCCAUCGUUCCCAGACUCGCUGUUGGCACGGCCUACUGAGCAGAGACACUGGUCGCUUUAUGGGAGAAACCUAAUCAGGGAGGCCAGGAGAGGGGGGCUGCCAUGGGGGGGGUCUGGCUCUUGGUGGCCCCAAGCCAAGCCUGAGGUGACUUCAGGGUGACGCCGUCUGUCUGCCUCUCUCCCUCCAGACAUCCGCCUAGCCCUGAAAAGGCCACCUGCCUGCCUAGGCCUUCAGUGCACCUGUCCUAGCCAGCCUGGCUCCUCCCCCAGGCACCCUGCCCAUGGGUAGACACCGCAGGACUGGGACAAGGUUGGGAGGUGGCAGCUGGCAGGUGGCAGGGCGUCUGCUGACUGCUCACUCCCUGGCGACCUGUUGAGGAUGACCAAUUCAUGUCACUGCCCUCCCUGCCACUGGCCCUCCUCCAGCCUGGCACCGCUGGGCCCCUUUGGUUUGUUUUAGGACCCCUUUCCUGUUAGCCCUUGGGAAAGGAAGCAUUUUUGUGGGUCCCAACCCCCGGGGCUGAGGUCAGUGGCCAAGGCCUGACUGUCACACAGGUAGGCCUGGGACAUCUAAACACUCCCCAAGCAUGGAUCUGGGACUCUUCCUCACUCAUUCACAAGUAUCUCUGGAGAUGGCCACAAACCAGGAAAGGGUGACCCUUCCUGAAGUCUUGUGGAACCAGCGUAAGCCCUCUGGGUAGGGCAGAGCUGCCUAAGAACUGAGGAGACCUUGGCAGCCACUCCCGCAACCACAGCAUGGAGAGACACCUGAGGGAAAUGGGUUCAUGGCAGGUACCUGUGGGUCAGCCUCACUAGACCCAAGCCCUGGGCAGAGAGAGGCCCCCUGGAGAGCAGGAGCCUUGUGGAAAGAAACAGGAAAAACGGGUCAGCAGUUCCUGGCAGAGGGGCAGUUCAGGGCAAAAGCCAGGAGGCAGGGAGGACCUGGGAGAUGGCCAAGGAGGGCAGAGGAGGCUUGCCCAGGGCACUUUGCUGCUUUAUGGGUUGGGGGCAGGGCUGAUAGGCACAAUGGGAAGGACCAGAGAAAGGGUGUCAAUGUGAUGGAUAGCUUGGCCAUCUUGGGGGUGCAGGCAGGGCUGGCAGGCAGGGAGGGAGGGGGCUGUCCCUCCCUUGUGUCCUCACCAGACCCUCAAUAGCCAAUGGCCUCAUCUUCCUUUCCUUGAGCUGUGUGGGAAACAAGGCUUGUAACAAACCACUCUGGCUUGAUGGACAGAACUAGGCAGAUCCCGAGCAGGGCUGUCUCUGUAUUCCACACCCCAGGCUCCGCUCCAGAGACCAUCAGCUGGCCACACUGCUCCCUCACGGCUACCAUGUCUCUGCUUGGUCCUCCAUCUUUCUGCUAGUUCUGCCGAGAGAGAGAGAGAGAGAGAGAGAGAGAGAGAGAGAGAGAGAGAGAGAGAGAGAGAGAGAGAGAGAGAGAGAGAGAGAGAGUGUGUGUGUGUGUGUGUGUGUGUGUGUGUGUGUGUGUGUUCAGGCACGUCUUGCCCUAUGUCCCAGGGAAGCUGCAUCUUGAUGACAACCUCUAGAGAGGAUUAACCCUCUCUCCAGGGUCCAGUUAAUUAACACAGUGUGCAUGAGGGCCAGUGUGAGCCUGUCCCCUCGUGGUGCUUCCUCCCUGGGGUCCCACAGCCAGUGGCUAGGUGGGCUACUGGCCACCCACAUAGACUUGCCUGCCACCAUGGAUGAAGUUUGAGUCCUAGUCUCUGGCCAGCAUGUCCAGCACAGGCCUGGUUUCAGAGGCCAUCCCAUCCAAGGCUUCUCAUGCAGAGUGGCACCAGGCAGUAGACAGACAGAUGAAAAUGUCACUGUGCUGUGGGCUAGCAGGGUGCAGCCAGGGGAGGCAUCAGGGACCAGGCUUUCUCCUUUUGGAAGCGGUUGAUUGUUGCUUUUGUUUCUAAACCCAAGCAGGUCAGGAAGUGAUGCAAGCAGGAGCUUCUGCGCGAAGUUGAUACCCCCGUGGUGAGUGGGGCCCCACUGGCCUUCCUUGGGAGAGCUGGGAGCCAUGGGAGACAUCAGAGUGGGAAAGACUAGGGUCCAAACCACAUCUCUGCCACUGCUCCAGGGCCCCAGCUUAGAUGCCUUUACCUGGAGGCCUGUGCUCCCUCCCCCCAGGACUGUGCCUCCCACCUGGAGACUGCCCCCAGAAGGUUCAUCUCAUCUACCCAUGAUGCACUGUGAUACGGUGAUCUUUGAACGCAUAUCAGCCUACCCAGGCUGGACGUGGUUUAACGGAGCUGCAGUUCUGUUUGUUAUUGGUUCUGAGUGGAAGAGGCACGGCCCCUCUACCCUGAGUCUACACUGUCUACAGGCUCACACCCUUCAGGUCACCCAGCCCUGAGAGCUCUCUGGAAACCUCACAGGCAGCUCUCUUUUCUCUCUGUCCCCCAUGGCCAUCACUCACUCCCCCAGUAUGAUCCUAAUACCCCCAUGUCACCUGGCAUUGAUGGAGGACCUGCCAGGGGAGUCGUGUCUGGAGGGAGAAGAAAGGCCAGGUGAGGGAAGCAAUCGCAUCUGUUCCCAGGUUGGGCUAAGGCUCAGAGGGUGGCGGCCAUGGUCAAGGAGGGACCAGGAUGCUUGUCUCCCGUUAUUUUUCUCCUACAGCUUGAACCCUGCAUGGCUUGUGAUGCAACGAAGCCCGAACUCGGGGAGGGUAAGCAGGGGCAGAUGCAAGACAGGCACUUUUGGAUGUCACAGUAGCAUACACUAGCCUCCUGCUGAUUGCUCACUAGAGUGGCCAAGGAGCUGCUGAGAAUCCCCAACGGUCAGCUAAAGGGACCCCACAGAAAUGCAAGUGUGCCAAGAUUUACCCAUUGAGGAGGCAGCCCAGGCCUUCCAGGCAGUCCUGCUCACGAUACUGUAUCCUGUCAGCCAGGCACAGAACCCAAAGCAUUGAGAGGCCUGUGUCGAAGUGUGCCCUCUCUCCUUGUUCAAGGAGCUUCUGAGGGGUGCAGAUGGAGACAGCCAAAGUAGCCACUAGUCAUUCUUCCACACCCAGGUGCAUCCUGGGAACUGACACGGUUAACCAUGGCCAGUCAGUGAUACCUCCAUCUUCCCACCUGGUCCACUCAUCAUAGAUGGGAACAUCAGGGGACCCUGAGCCACUUUCUUCCAAUGCGUCUUCCUGCCUUGCUGGCCCUGCUUGGACCAUCCUUGGGGAUAUUUGUCCUUUCUGUUCAUGAAAGGGUCCAGGCUUGAGGCAGGGAAUAGCACCCCAGUGGCUCUCAUAGAAGUCCUUCGGGGGCUAGACAGUACCAGCAUACUGGGAGGCAGGGAGGGAGGCAGGCAGGCAGGUAGGCAGGUGUGGCAUCAGGUGCUGGGGUUCAUGCCCAGAGCAAAAGCUGCCUGGCUUCCUGGGCCUGGGCACAGAACCUCCCUCUGCAUUGCUGGGCAAACCUUUCUGAGGCCUGAAAGACACAACCCCUUCCCUUCUGAUAGCAAAGUCACGUGGGACUAGAGACUCUGAGCCUUCUGGGCCUCAGUUUCUUCACAGUGAUCGGCCUCACAACUGGAGGGUUAGAUGCGCCCAGCCUGAUGGCUGCCCAGGAGAACUGGAGAGAGGCCUGCGGUGGAGUCUCCAAGCCUGUGUUGGUACCAGGGAGCAGAGAGCUACAGAAGCUUCUUACAAGGUGGGCAGAGUACUCCACACAGUGCUACUGCUCAGCUGGGAGGCCGUAGGCCUUGCUUAUAAGAUGGGCUUACAAUACGUUUGCCCAAUAUUCCCCAGCUAGCGGCUGUGAACAGUGCUUAUAGCCUGACCGAUUCCCAGAGUGGGCCUUACCUGUCCCGCACAGUGAGUAUCAUCAUCCACACCAGGCCGUCUGUCCUUACUAGGGCAUCCUCCCUGCUGGGUUCUGUCCAAGGCUCUGGGAGCCCCAAGCUUAGAGCCAAGCACGGAGCCCUUGCUGGCUUCAGGAAGGGCUCGUCGCCAAGGACAGACUGGACAUCAGUGUCCAGCCAGGGUCUGCACUUCCGCCCAGCUGGCCACCAUGGGGAGCUAGGCUGCCUCCCACAAGGAAAAAAAAAUGAUUUUGAGCCUCCCCCAGCGAGGUCAGCUCGGGCCACUCUGAGGGGAGGCAGGGACUAAACCCUCAAGGAGGGGCUUUUCCUGUGUAAGAGGAGGAGGAUGCUUGCCCAAGGCCACUGCCUAGCAGGAGUCCUGGUGCCUCCAACUCUACUUAUGCUAGAGUUGACUGCACAGAGCCUGGGUCUCAGCCAGGCGGACACUGGGAGCUCCCUGGACCUGGCUGGCCUUUGACAAGUGACUCCCUUCCCUCAUUGUGGCCAUUCCUGCCUAGUGACUUGUCACCUUUUCCUCUCUACUCCCCCCCCCCCACUUCCCUCAUUGUCUCUGCUCGGUGAUUUUGUCUAAGUGUCUGGCCCACUUUGGGGGAGCCCCAGCCCACUGCUGGCUGAUACCCUUAGCACCAAGCUGGCCAUGUUGGGCCCCUCACCUUGUUCCCAGCUGUCCUUCUUCCUCUAGGAGGCAUCUCAAGAAGCCAUAACCUCCAGCUCUACACCAAGACUGACUGACGGCCUUUGGGGUGAGGUAGUAGGUUGUAUGGUUUUGGGCUCUGCCCCGCUCUGCGGUAACUAUACAAUCUACUGUCUUUCCUGAAGUGGCCGCAAUAUCUGCAGAGGACACAACGCCAGCCCUGUCUGGGGAGGCCGAGGGAAGUACAGGGAGCAGUAGCUGCCAUGCAACAAGAACUUUGGACAGGGACCUUGGACAGUCCCUUGACCUCUCUGGGGUGUGGGUGUAAAAGCAGACAUGUGGCAUUUCCAGGGCACCUCCUUUCCCUUUACUACACCGAAGGGGACCCCAUCAUAUUCGGCCUGGGCUCACAGGCCUCCCUAAGGAAAGGGUUCGGACUGGACCUUCAGCUCUGUUCCAGAGCGGUGACAUACUCCAGGCCUGGCAUAUAUCCAGACUUUCCAACUCAAAGUCAGGCUUCUGAUGAAUGGCAGCAUGUCCAUCUCCAUAGAGUCAGGGCAUCUUUUACAGGAAAGAUGUGAGAGGAAGGUCCUUAGCAUGCCUGGGUACCCCAUGGGCACAGCCUGCAGCUGGCCAGUGUAGGCCACUGUCCCUGGGGUGAUGGGUUCAGACCCUGGAGACCUCCCUGAUCCAUCUGGUGGGUACGGGCCUUUCUUGCUGAGCCACUGUCUCUGCUUCCCCACCUGCCCUGUGCCAGCUGUGCCCUCUGGCUCUGGUGGCCUGUGGCCAGGGUGGGUGGGGAGCGGCUGGGCCUCCUCCAGAAUGUGGACACCGCAGGGUGAGGUAGUAGGUUGUGUGGUUUCAGGGCAGUGAUGUUGCCCCUUAGAAGAUAACUAUACAACCUACUGCCUUCCCUGAGGGGCCCAGCGGCGCAUCUACUUGGAGGCCCCUGCUCAGCGAGCCACGUGGAGAGCCUGUGCCACAGAUUGGGUGGGAGCUGCAAUGUGGGGCCUGGAUAAAAAUAAAGGCUGUUCUGACAUGAA